UUACUAUGUUUUUAUAUAUGCUGGAAGCCGGCCAGAGUGGCUGGGGAAACCCAGUCAGAUGGGCAGGGUACAAAUAAUAAUAAUAAUAAUAAUAAUAAUAAUAAUAAUAAUAAUUCAUUAUUUAUACCCUGCCCAUCUGGCUGAGUUUCCCCAGCCACUCUGGUGGCUCCCAAUCAAGUGUUAAGAACAGUA